rnacentral:lncRNA from 1 species
GAGUCCCCCCGGCCCAACUGCAGACCCCUGCCUCUCCCAGGCCUCUCACCCUGGCAGUCGAGGUGCCCGCAGCCAGAGGACGGGCCCUGCCCAGGGGCCCCAGAGCCCAGGCGAAAACACACACACACACAGCACCCAACCCUCAGCUUCCUUCCUCCCUGCACGGCCAGUGCGAAGAACAGCAGGCAAGGGCCGGGGUGGGCGGAGGCGGCCACACCAGCACCACGCGGAGCCCCUAGCUGCCCCGGGCUCGGCCCACGGCCCCUCCUUCUCGUUCACAUCCUGGCGGGGGCAGGGCACACGGGUGCAGCGCAGAGACCAAGGCCCCCCGGGGGCGGCGGCGGGCACACUGAGGCUGGGCCUCUCCACCUGCAGCGCCCCCCACCACCCAGGAGCACUUGGCUGCUCCUGUCCCCACUCCCAGGAAGCACAGCAGGACACCACGGAAGUCAGGGGGCUUGGUGCGCAGGGAAGCCACCCCACAGCCCAGACCAGGGCCCCCAGCCCUCUGCUGACCGUUAUCUUGGAACAGAUUCACCAGAGGUCUCCACCCGCCACUGCCAGCAAGCCCAGCCCCACCUCCCUCCCGCAGACCCAGCCUGCCCCACACAGGCCUCAGUGCCCAGAACCCCAGCGCCCUGCAGUUGGUGUGGCCCUCCGCCCCUCUCAGUCCCAGGCCUGGCCCUCGGAGUAGAAGCAACCAUUCACUCCCCUUGCAUCUUCAUGCCAGGGACACUCGCUCCUGGAAGCCCUCCUCACACCCGUGUAGCGAGCUCAGGACAGGGCCCAGCCCUGUGGAUGCCAGCUCAGGUCUAAGCCCCCGCCCCGGAGGACAGGCAGGGUCCCGCCCCAGGCUCAGGACCCUGCCACCUCUGCCCUGCUCCAGCCCCACACCCCACCGCCCCUAAGACUUGGGAGACCAGCCCAGCCCGCCAGCCGCCCCUCACAGCCCCCCACAUCGGUGCUGGAAGGCGGGACCUCUCCAGGCCCGGACCCGGCUCCAUCUGCAGCCUCACAGCCAGCACCCCGCCCCACCGUGGGGCCCCGACUCUCACCCCCCCAGGGCGCUGCUGGUUCUGCCGCCAAGCAGACAGGAGGGGAGCUGACCCUCAGGAGGGCGGGAACCCCUGCGGCUCUAAGUGCCCCCGGCCCCGACUGAAGCACUGCAGGGCCCCUCCUCUGGCCUCUGACCCCCAAGACCUGGGAGCCAGAGGGGCUGCAGGCGCUCAGCGGGACGCAGCCACCCCCGCCAGACAGGACGGGACAUCCCUGGCACAGAGGACCAGGGCCCGGGCUGAAGGUGCUCCGGACACGGAAGCCCUGGACCCUGAGCCUGGACGCCGUGUCCGUCUGCCUCCCCACCUACCCUGCUCCAGCAGGUUCUCAGCCCACGCGGAAGGUGGGCACGGGGCGGGGUGGGGGCACAGGGUCCCUGUGAGGCACGGCCUGGUCCACAGGCAGGACAGCACUGCCCCCAGGCGCUCAGAGACCCCGCGCCCAGGCCUGGGCCUGUCCCAGCUUCUCCGGGAGGCCACACGCAACCCCCAGCCCCCCACCGCCCCAGGGCCGCGGCCNNNNNNNNNNNNNNNNNNNNNNNNNNNNNNNNNNNNNNNNNNNNNNNNNNNNNNNNNNNNNNNNNNNNNNNNNNNNNNNNNNNNNNNNNNNNNNNNNNNCACGCAACCCCCAGCCCCCCACCGCCCCAGGGCCGCGGCCGGUUCCCAGGCCCGGCCAGCAGCGUGCCCCGUCACGCCAGCCCGCAGCCCGGCCCCCGCCACCCCCGUGCUCAGGAUCAGGGUGACUCACGGGGCUGGCACGCCGCCUCCGGCCCCCGCCACGGGCGGCCGCCCUGAACACACACACACACCUGUCCGGACUUGAUGCCGCAGGCCGGCGGAGGGGCCUGGGAACUGUGGGCGGGGCCGGCCAGGCUCUGGGCCAUGAGGGGCCCCCGGGAGGGGCCCAGGAAGGCUGCACUCAGGCCGGCAACCAGGAGCUGCAGCCCGACCCCAGAGACCCCACAGGCCCAGGAGCUGCAGCCCGACCCCAGAGACCCCACAGGCCCAGGGAGCGGUUCGGGGAAGGGCCUGGGAGCCGCACUCCUGCCCACCCCACGUCAGCGGCCCAGACGCCAACCAACCGGCCGGGGAGAGUGCCAAGCCCUGCAAAUCUAGGCCCAGACCACCACCCUCUCUCCGUGAGGCCAAGCAUUGCCCUGGAGGCCGGGAAGGCCAAUAGGCCCCGACCAGCAUGGGUCUCAGGCGCUGGCAAGUGGCACCUGGGGAGCCCACCACAAGGACGAGCCCAGUCCAGCCACUCAGGCGUGUCCAGCUCUCCGGACUGCAGCCCCCAGGCCUCCCUGUCCAUCACCCGCUCCCGGAGCCUGCCCACACGUGUCCAUCGAGUCGGUGAUGCCAUCCAGCCCUCCCAUCCUCUGUCGCCCCCUUCUCCUCCUGCCUUCACUCUUUCCCAGCAUCAGGGUCUUUUCC